GGGCUUGUAGCUCAGUUGGUUAGAGCACCGGCCUUUUAAGCCGGGUGUCGUGGGUUCGAAUCCCACCGAGCCCACCA
rnacentral:tRNA from 2 species